AAUAUUUAUGUCCUUUGCAAGCGAGGGUUUAAAUGCGAUUUUAAUAGAAUAAACAUUGAAAAAUGAAUUAUGUUCUUUUAUUUUUACCUCUUGCAAAUACUUUUUUAAUUCAAUGAAAUGAAUGAGUUUUUAAUUGUUUUAUUAUGCUACCAGUUUUCAUAAAUGAGGUGAUGAAUGAUUUCUUGAUGACUCUUCAUUAAACAAAUAACAUCAGUAUUCACUCAAGGAUAACAUAAGUGAAUAAAUUUUACGAAUUCUAGAAAUUUAUUUCAACGAAUUGACAAGGUCCUCUUAGUCGGUGUUUGAACCCAAAGAACAAACAGUAAACAAAUACAUCUUUGCUUGUGGACAAUGUGAAAUCAGAUCAUUAAUAAUCUACAUCAGAAUUGAUUUUUAAAAAUCUUCAUUUUGAACAUAUGUGAAAUCCUGUGGCUUAAAAAUUGUGUUCUUCAUGUCUGUUGCUUUUUCUGUGGCUUGUGCAGGUACAUCGAAUAAUCAUGGCAUGGCUUGUUGAAAAGUUGAUUUGUUACUCAUUUUAAAGAUACAUCGAGCAACUCUGUAGUGAAAAUAAGUUUGAGAAGACAAGAAUGUAAUUAACCAUUCAAGCAAAUGGAAUGGAUUAAAAACUGAGCACGAGAAAAAACUGAAUCUUUUUAAAAAGACACAAAAAGACUAUUCUUUUCUUCUUCUCGGAUAUUUUCAAUUCAUUAAUAUUUAUAUAACCUUUUCUGCAUUUAUAUUCAACAUCUCGACAUUCAGACUUCAGAACAGCUGUUUUAAACAAAUUAGUUAAACAUUUAAUGCGUACUAAUCGGAUAGUACAAGUUAAUUAGUUUUCCUACGAUUGCUAAUAGCAAUGUAAUUUGGCAAUUGGUUUAGCGUUACGACAAAUUACAGUGAUUCUUUCUUUCAAC